CGGUAUAUGCGGGCAGCCUGAUCAGCAUGCCGCGUGUGUGAAGAAGGCCUUCGGGUUGUAAAGCACUUUUAUCGGGAACGAAACAUUGUCGGUGAAUAUCCGGCAAGACUGACGGUACCCGAGGAAUAAGCACCGGCUAACUUCGUGCCAGCAGCCGCGGUAAUACGAAGGGUGCAAGCGUUACUCGGAAUUACUGGGCGUAAAGGGUGCGUAGGUGGUUUGUUAAGUCUGCUGUGAAAUCCCCGGGCUCAACCUGGGAAUGGCAGUGGAUACUGGAAAGCUGGAGUGUGGUAGAGGAUAGUGGAAUUCCCGGUGUAGCAGUGAAAUGCGUAGAGAUCGGAAGGAACACCAGUGG
rnacentral:rRNA from 1 species